rfam:Taeniopygia guttata chromosome 1A, whole genome shotgun sequence.
CCAAAGGCUCUUUUAAGAGCCGCACACUUCAACUGUAAAAGAGCUG